ensembl:lncRNA
CUCCAACCCUGGCCCUGGCAACUGCUGAUCUUUAUUAGGCCUCCAGAACUGUGCUUAUUGGAAUCAUGCAGUGUGCACCUUUUCAGUCAGUCCUAUUCCUCACUAGCGAGCCAGUAUGUCUCCUCCCUGUCUUCAUAGCUUGGAAGUCAGUGUUAGCGACCAUCCCACCCUCUGGAUGUACGGCAGCGCAUUUAUUCAUUCACCUACUGCAGGGCAGCUUGGUUGCUUCCAACUUUUGGCAGUGAAGAGUAAAGCUCCCCCAGACAUCAACGUGCAGGACUUCCUGUGGGUAUAAGUUUCCAACUUUUCUCUGAGCUAAACACCAAGAAGCAUGAUUUAGUGGAUGAUUUGCUUAGUUUUAAAAGAAAGUGUUCAAGUGCCUUCCAAAAGAUCUGUCCAUUUCCUGAGCCUGGCACCAGAUGGAUGUUGGCAAUCUGGGUGUGCGGUGUGGUAGAAUUUGCAUUUCCCCCCACAUCCUUGUUGUCAUCAUUGCUGAGAUGUCUACGAAGGUUUCAGCCCAUUUUGGGUGACAGACCACUUGCCUGCCUAGCAUGCCGAGGCUCUCGGUUCAGUUCCCGACGGCAAAAUGUGAAAAGCCCGCAGUGUUUACAACCCGCCGCAUCAGCGCACCUGAACAGCCUCCUCCUGGAACACAGUGCUUAUGGUGUAGACCUACAGCGGCCCGAGUCCCAUGUGUUCAGAGGUUGGGCUUCCUGAAGACCACCGCCUUGCCUGGAUUAUUACAAAGCUUGGAACGCGGCUCUACUUCUCUGCCUGCUUCUUUUUUGGUGUAUUUUCAGCCCUGAAAUCAGAGCAAAUCCUAUGGCAGAGAAGAGUCAGAUCAAGUCAGAGUGUUUUGAAAUUUCUCCCUUAAUUCACAUAGUGCUCAGACUACAACAAAGGCUAAGUGUUAGCUGCCUAAGUCAUCGGUCUGCUUCGCUCCCAUAAUGUUUACCAUAGGAUCCCUGGAGGCGUCAGUCAGACACUCUUCUCACCUCAAGGCCUUUGUACUUGGAUCCCUUCUGCCAAAGAUACUCCAGAUAUCCGCAUGACCUGCCACAGGCAUAGUAAUUAUCUGUGAAAACGUCUCCUCCCAGUGAACUUCCUUCCCUGCCCACAUCUGACUGCUUCACCUUGGCUAGUCCCUAGCUCCCCUUCCCAGCUUAUUUUUCUGCAUACUUCCUGUCACUUUGUAUCCUGCUAAAUAAUUUGCCUAUGUAUAGUCUGGCUUUCCCCACCAGAACUUCCACUGCAUUAUGCUUAGGACUUUUGUCUCUCCUCUUGGUGGCCAUAUCCACUAGUGAUAUAAGGCAUUCACGGACUAUGGUUAUUAACUAUUAAAGGCUGACUAUCACACAGGCAGUACAAUUAUUCUGCACCCCUUACACCCAUGCAAAAGACUGUGAGAACUUGAAUGGAGUGAAAAUACAUCUGGGGGAGCCCCGGGAGUCCAUUCAAACACAACACAUCCACAAAGUUAAACAACCGAUGGUGUGUUAUAGGCCAAAAUAAAUGCCUUUGAAAAUCUUCACUGAAGCUGACAAUGCUCCCUCACCUGAUGUGCAGAUCUGCAGGGGCAGAUGUUCAGGACAGGCCGUCUCUGGCCAUUGAUUUAAGAAUGAAAAGUGCCCCCGUGGAUGGCAUCAAGUAGUCUGAAGUCCUGAGGAUUUUACGGCUCAUGCCAAUGCACCCAGAGAGCUGUGUUAACAGAAGGCCGCCUGGCUCCAGAGUGACAGUGAUGGUGCUACCUGUCGGUGGUCGUGAACCUCAAAGCCCACCACUUGCCUGUAAAAGACCACGACAGCACAAACACCAGGACAUGGCUUCAGCAAACUCA